ensembl:lncRNA
GCAAAGCUUCGGGUUUGAAGCCAGAGGAACUUUAGUCUCCAUGAAAGAGCAAGCGCAGAACGUGCUAGUAAGAGUCUGAGAUUUCUGGCUUCUCCGGGAAUUUACAUCUUGGACCUCCAUGGGGCAUCAAUCUGCUGGAGCUGAGUGGCCAUUUUCCCCUUCCGUUUCCCCAGUCUCCAUGGCUCCUUAUUGUCUAACACCUACUUUACUCACUUAGAUGACCUGCCUAACCCAGGUCUAUAUAAUGAACUCUUUGUCCUCGGGGAAGGAGCCAAGGAGUGGAAGACGACAAUGAGCAGCACCCAACAGGAGAUGACCGUGAUGGUGGACUCGACGGACAAGAGCUAUGUUGAGCAAGGUGCAGACUGCGGCUAGACGUUCUCGUUCAUGGACACGCACAAUCUGAACGGGAGAGACCCAUUUGUGCCAACUGCAGUUUUAGUACUGUUGCUCCUGCCCUGUUGGCUUUUUCAUCUCCUUUUUUCUCCUGAUAUGUGUCUUCUUAAAAGUGCCAUUAAAUGGUAAGUUCCCCCAUUUGCCCCAUGGAAAAGGUGUGGAGGGAAUGGGGGCAUGUGUCUUAUCUGUAGCUUCUGACAAAACCAGCUGGUUCUGCUCUGUGUUGGCCUGCAUGUUAGCUCUUGUAGAACAUUCCAUGCAUGAAGUGUGGGUCUGCUCUGCAAUAUUUUGUCAAGCUUUCUGAUCCUGGAGUGUGCACAGUGACUCAUCAGUCUAAAGUUCUGUUUUCUUUUUCCGCUUUGCUUCCAUUUCAUGUAUCAAGUCCACAUUUUCAUUGCUAGCUUUAUAAGCCAAGCCAUUUUGACCAUUUUACUUUUGCUCACAGAACAUUUGUACAGAGUUCAUUUACUUCAUCAUGCAAACUAGUUAGCUUAUCUUUGGAAGAAUACGUGACUGGUUUUAUCAGGUCUUGAUGAAGUUUCAGAUUGAAACUUCUAUAAACGUUAGCACCCAAAAGCUAGAGGGUUCUUACCGCAUAGUUUUGUGAAAGCAAUAUAUCAUUUAGACUGCUUUGUAAAAACAAAACUUUUUGCCUCAUUCCUAUCAGUAUUGCCAGUUUCAUUUAGAUUUGUAAACAUUGAACUUUUCCUCUUUGCUGAGCCAUCGUAAGGAUUAGUGCAGCCAUAGGUUGAGGGGAUGUCAGCAGCAGCUUCUUAGCGUUCUCAGUGACCCUGAUGUAUCCCGUUAGUUCUCCCUCACUUUCUCUCUACCUUCUUUUCCUAAAUGACCACACGAUGGCCACUGAGAUGAGCACUUUGGUGCAUUCCCACACUUAGAAGAAUCACGAGCCGGCUGACGUGCGCUGACAGACUGGGAAGCUUCACCCCGCUAUCCAGGUGGCAGACCGGCGUCAACAUCACACAGAUGAAGUGUUUAGAGGGCUGCGGCUUAAAGGAGGGAUAUGAAGUGACCAUGAGCUUCGGGCCAGGGCUCCUUCUCAGCCCUCCGGGGCCUGAUGCCAGGGACUGUGCUCCCAGCUUAUUCAGCCAGCAGUGGGACCGCAUGAAGGCUGGCAGGAAAGGACCAGACAUUUCAUCCAUGGAUCCAUUUCCUUCCGGCUGUAAGACUUAUUACCUGGAAGCUAAAUCAGCCCUGAGCAAACGUCUGCUGCCAAUCCUCCUCUUUUUACUGAGGAAGAGUGGCCCUGAGCUAACAUCCGUGCCCAUCUUCCUCUACUUUAUAUGUGGGACACCUACCACAGCAUGGCUUGACAAGCGGUGCCAUGUCCGCACCUGGGAUCUGAACCAGCAAACCCCAGGCCGCCAGAGGGGAACGUGUGCACUUAACCACUGCAUCACCAAGCCAGCCCCAUAUAAUUGUGAUUUUAAUCCUAAUAAUUUUGUGGUAAUUACCUCAGAAAGAAACUGUCCACUUAAAACAAUUUUAGACCAACCAUGAUGUCAUGUGGUGGAGAUAAGACAGCAGUAAAGGGACUGGCUAGUGUCAUGGCUAUGGCAGUUGUUAUUGUCCUGCCAGCCCAGAGAGCGUGUUGCUGUGCUGGGAUCUAGCACGGACAGCUUUCGGGGGCAUUUCCAGGAGCAGUGAUGUUCUCUCACCAUAUUUAAAAUGGAGGGCCCACCCCUUUCACAGCCUCUGUCAUUAGCUAAUGCUGUUGGAAAGUCAUUCAAGAAAUGAAGAGAAUUAAUUGAUUUAAAGAAGUCUGAUUCAAAGAAGCACACCAGUACCUGAGUGUGUGUGUCUG